rnacentral:rRNA from 1 species
GACGAACGCUGGCGGCGUGCUUAACACAUGCAAGUCGAACGGAAAGGCCCUGCUUUUGUGGGGUGCUCGAGUGGCGAACGGGUGAGUAACACGUGAGUAACCGGCCCUUGACUUUCGGAUAACUUCAGUUAACUGGUGCUAAUACCGGAUAGGAGCUCCUGCUGCAUGUUGGGGGUUGGAAAGUUUCGGCGGUUGGGGCUGUACUCUCGUCUUAUCAGUUUCUUGGUGGGGUAGUGGCUUACCAAGGCUUUGACGGGUAGCCGGCCUGAGAGGGUGACCGGCCACAUAGGGACUGAGAUACGGCCCGGACUCGUAGGGGAGGCAGCAGUGGGGAAUAUUGCAGAAUGGGCGGAAGACUGAGGCAGCAAGGCCGCGUGCGGGAUGACGGCAUUCGGGUUGUAACCCGAUUAAGCCUGUGACGCAGCGUGAGUGACGGUAAUGGGUAAAGAAGCACCGGCUAACUACGUG